rnacentral:rRNA from 1 species
GUGGGGAAUUUUCCGCAAUGGGCGAAAGCCUGACGGAGCAAUGCCGCGUGAAGGAUGAAGGCCUAUGGGUUGUAAACUUCUUUUCUCAGAAAAGAAUUAUGACGGUAUCUGAGGAAUAAGCAUCGGCUAACUCUGUGCCAGCAGCCGCGGUAAGACAGAGGAUGCAAGCGUUAUCCGGAAUGAUUGGGCGUAAAGCGUCUGUAGGUUGUUUAAAAAGUAUUCUGUCAAAGAUUAGGGCUUAACCCUAGAUAGGCAGAAUAAACUUUUAAGCUAGAGUUUGGUAGAGGCAGAGGGAAUUCCCGGUGGAGCGGUGAAAUGCGUAGAUAUCGGGAGGAACACCAAAGGCGAAGGCACUCUGCUGGGCCAAUACUAACACUGAGAGACGAAAGCGAGGGGAGCAAAUGGGAUUAGAUACCCGUGUAGUCC